GACAGAGGUGCCAAGCGUUAGGCGGAAUUACUGGGCGUAAAGCGCGCGUAGGCGGCUUUGUAAGUUAGAGGUGAAAGCCCGGAGCUCAACUCCGGAACUGCCUUUAAAACUGCAUCGCUUGAAUCCAGGAGAGGUGAGUGGAAUUCCGAGUGUAGAGGUGAAAUUCGUAGAUAUUCGGAAGAACACCAGUGGCGAAGGCGGCUCACUGGACUGGUAUUGACGCUGAGGUGCGAAAGCGUGGGGAGCAAACAGG
rnacentral:rRNA from 1 species